rnacentral:rRNA from 1 species
UACGGAGGGUGCAAGCGUUAAUCGGAAUUACUGGGCGUAAAGCGCACGUAGGUGGUUUGGUCAGUCAGAUGUGAAAGCCCCGGGCUCAACCUGGGAACUGCACCUGAUACUGCCAGACUAGAGUACGGUAGAGGGUAGUGGAAUUUCCGGUGUAGCGGUGAAAUGCGUAGAGAUCGGAAGGAACACCAGUGGCGAAGGCG